GGAUGAACGCUGACAGAAUGCUUAACACAUGCAAGUCAACUUGAAUUUGGGUUUUUAACUUAGAUUUGGGUGGCGGACGGGUGAGCAACGCGUAAAGAACUUGCCUCACAGCUAGGGACAACAUUUAGAAAUGAAUGCUAAUACCUGAUAUUAUGAUUUUAAGGCAUCUUAGAAUUAUGAAAGCUAUAAGCACUGUGAGAGAGCUUUGCGUCCCAUUAGCUAGUUGGAGAGGUAACAGCUCACCAAGGCAAUGAUGGGUAGCCGGCCUGAGAGGGUGAACGGCCACAAGGGGACUGAGACACGGCCCUUACUCCUACGGGAGGCAGCAGUGGGGAAUAUUGGACAAUGGACCGAGAGUCUGAUCCAGCAAUUCUGUGUGCACGAUGAAGUUUUUCGGAAUGUAAAGUGCUUUCAGUUGGGAAGAAAAAAAUGACGGUACCAACAGAAGAAGUGACGGCUAAAUACGUGCCAGCAGCCGCGGUAAUACGUAUGUCACGAGCGUUAUCCGGAUUUAUUGGGCGUAAAGCGCGUCUAGGUGGUUAUGUAAGUCUGAUGUGAAAAUGCAGGGCUCAACUCUGUAUUGCGUUGGAAACUGUAUAACUAGAGUACUGGAGAGGUAAGCGGAACUACAAGUGUAGAGGUGAAAUUCGUAGAUAUUUGUAGGAAUGCCGAUGGGGAAGCCAGCUUACUGGACAGAUACUGACGCUAAAGCGCGAAAGCGUGGGUAGCAAACAGG
rnacentral:rRNA from 1 species